rnacentral:lncRNA from 1 species
CUAUAUGAGUAGAGGUUGACAUAGCAUGUGGCUGUGUGGCUAAGAACUUUUGAAACGGCUAUGCUAAAUCAGUCAACAUGGGACUAGAAGAAGGUGGUGCUCUAAGUAUAGACGAGUCAUUAGAUGGCAUGGUAGCAGCUACGUUAGCAUUGAGAUGAUAUGAUCACUGUCGUGGUUGUGGCUGCUACUUCUUCAAUAGCUUGAGACAUUGAGACUUCCAAUGUCCCUUUUGUUUGCAAAAGUUACACUCAUCACUAGCAACUCGC